UGCUUAACACAUGCAAGUCGAACGGAAAGGCCCUUCGGGGUACUCGAGUGGCGAACGGGUGAGUAACACGUGGGUGAUCUGCCCUGCACUCUGGGAUAAGCCUGGGAAACUGGGUCUAAUACCGGAUAGGACCACACACUUCAUGGUGAGUGGUGCAAAGCUUUUGCGGUGUGGGAUGAGCCCGCGGCCUAUCAGCUUGUUGGUGGGGUAAUGGCCCACCAAGGCGACGACGGGUAGCCGGCCUGAGAGGGUGACCGGCCACACUGGGACUGAGAUACGGCCCAGACUCCUACGGGAGGCAGCAGUGGGGAAUAUUGCACAAUGGGCGCAAGCCUGAUGCAGCGACGCCGCGUGAGGGAUGACGGCCUUCGGGUUGUAAACCUCUUUCAGUAGGGACGAAGCGAAAGUGACGGUACCUACAGAAGAAGGACCGGCCAACUACGUGCCAGCAGCCGCGGUAAUACGUAGGGUCCGAGCGUUGUCCGGAAUUACUGGGCGUAAAGAGCUCGUAGGUGGUUUGUCACGUUGUUCGUGAAAACCCACAGCUUAACUGUGGGCGUGCGGGCGAUACGGGCAGACUAGAGUACUGCAGGGGAGACUGGAAUUCCUGGUGUAGCGGUGGAAUGCGCAGAUAUCAGGAGGAACACCGGUGGCGAAGGCGGGUCUCUGGGCAGUAACUGACGCUGAGGAGCGAAAGCGUGGGUAGCGAACAGGAUUAGAUACCCUGGUAGUCCACGCCGUAAACGGUGGGUACUAGGUGUGGGUUUCCUUCCUUGGGAUCCGUGCCGUAGCUAACGCAUUAAGUACCCCGCCUGGGGAGUACGGUCGCAAGACUAAAACUCAAAGGAAUUGACGGGGGCCCGCACAAGCGGCGGAGCAUGUGGAUUAAUUCGAUGCAACGCGAAGAACCUUACCUGGGUUUGACAUGCACAGGACGUACCUAGAGAUAGGUAUUCCCUUGUGGCCUGUGUGCAGGUGGUGCAUGGCUGUCGUCAGCUCGUGUCGUGAGAUGUUGGGUUAAGUCCCGCAACGAGCGCAACCCUUGUCCUAUGUUGCCAGCGGGUAAUGCCGGGGACUCGUAGGAGACUGCCGGGGUCAACUCGGAGGAAGGUGGGGAUGACGUCAAGUCAUCAUGCCCCUUAUGUCCAGGGCUUCACACAUGCUACAAUGGCCAGUACAGAGGGCUGCGAAGCCGCAAGGUGGAGCGAAUCCCUUAAAGCUGGUCUCAGUUCGGAUUGGGGUCUGCAACUCGACCCCAUGAAGUCGGAGUCGCUAGUAAUCGCAGAUCAGCAACGCUGCGGUGAAUACGUUCCCGGGCCUUGUACACACCGCCCGUCACGUCAUGAAAGUCGGUAACACCCGAAGCCAGUGGCCUUAAACCUUUUUGGAGGGAGCUGUCGUAGGUUGGGAUCGGCGAUUAGG
rnacentral:rRNA from 1 species